GUGCUUGAUUCAACAGCACAUAUACUAAAACUGGAAGGAUGCGGAGAUUAGCACACCCCCUGCACAAGGGUGACAUGCAAAUUUGUGAAGCGUUCCAUAUUUUU
ensembl:snRNA U6 U6 spliceosomal RNA